rnacentral:rRNA from 1 species
UACGUAGGGUGCGAGCGUUAAUCGGAGUUACUGGGCGUAAAGCGUGCGCAGGCGGUUUUGUAAGCCAGAUGUGAAAUCCCCGGGCUUAACCUGGGAAUGGCAUUUGGGACUGCAAGGCUUGAGUGCGGCAGAGGAGACUGGAAUUCCUGGUGUAGCAGUGAAAUGCGUAGAUAUCAGGAGGAACACCGAUGGCGAAGGCAGGUCUCUGGGCUGACACUGACGCUCAUGCACGAAAGCGUGGGGAGCAAACAGG